rnacentral:lncRNA from 1 species
AUCAGAGUUUUUGAGCAACUGUAUCUACAGCCCCAAGAUGGCAGUGUUUUCAAUGGCCCUGACUGUAGGUAUGAUUGUGUAUAGGAGGGGCAUGUGGUCUCUGAUUGGCUGAUCGCAUACCUUGAGAAUCUCGUUGUUUAGUGUUAAAAAAAAAAUGUUGAAUAGACCAGUCAGCUUUUGGGGGUAGCCCUGUGCAGAAGAGGAUGGAGAAGCAUCUGUGGACUUCUUUGGUGGUUUUGGGGCUUCAUUUUUGCCGUAAGUUAAUGCAGAGUUUUAGCCAGGUUCACGCAGGAAGGUCAGGGGAACAUUUUCUUAGGAUUUUCAGCAAAAGUGUAUGCACUGGGGUAGGAGAAGGGGAGAAAAUGAGGCCACUUUAUAGUUUACCUGAGAUUCCUUGCAGAGAAAAGGAAUGGCUACAAAUUAGGAAGCAUUAAAAUGGAUGAUCUAUUUCUUAAAUCUCACUUUGCUUUCUGAAUAGGGGUGAGUGGCAAAAACCAAGUGGAACAGAAUCCUCCAUCUCUGAUCACCCUGGAGGGGAAGAACUGCACAAUUCAAUGCAACUAUACAGUGAACCCCUUUGGCAGCUUAAGGUGGUACAAGCACAGCACGGGGACAGGUCCUGCUUCUCUGAUAGGCAUGACUUACAGUGACAGCAAAAAGUCAUAUGGAAGCUACACAGUGACUCUGGAUGCAAACUCCAAGCAGAGCUCCUUGCACAUCACAGCUGCCCAGCUUAGUGAUUCAGCCUCCUACAUCUGUGUGGUGAGCGCACUGUGUUCCCUGAGCACUUGAAUCCAGUACCCAAACCUGCACCUGCAGGUUGUCAAGAGGCUUAGGAAGUGAAGUAGAAUGUUGUUUUUCAUAUAGUAUAUACUUUCACAAGUGAGCUGAUACUUCUUUCUUACAUAUGAUUGAGUUUGAACUUAAGCUGAGAUGUCUACAUGUCAUAAAGUCAUCCUCAUUCAAGACAUAAGGUUAACUGCUGCAUCUGGCUAUUCCCAAAGAGUUGAGCAGUUCAUAUUCAAUGGAGCCGAGUGCUUCAUUCCUGAGUCUCCAGGAGAAAAUACCUACCAUUUUUUAUUGUACAACUUCCAUUGGUUCAAGAAGAAUUCUGGAAAAGGAUUUGUAUCUUUAACUUUAAUUCAAUCAAGCCAGAAAGAGUAUGCAGACAAAAAUUUUAAAGAACUGUUUGAAAAGAGAAGUUGUAUAGAGUUUUGCACAUCCCAGCCUGUCAUCCUGGAAAUUUGGCCAUCUACUUUUGUGCUUCCUGGCCUAGUGUUCUCUGAGCACCUGCAGUCCUACCACAACCCAGCAGCUGGGCUUCUUGAUACAGGUGGGUGGGAGUGAGUAUGUUUUAUUUAUUUAUGGAGGGAGUUUUCUAUAUAAUUUUUGUCUCCAAAUAGAAAUGAAGGAUAAUAUGCCAUCUCCCUUAUGUGAUGAAUCUGAAUUAAUAUUGACUUCAAUUUCCUUUGGUUGCUAUUGAAAUUUCAUUGCUCACUGCAGAUUGUACUGAUCUUGGACCUGCUUACCCACAGAGUCCCCUCCACUGCUGUCACUCGCCCUUUGUGGCUCAGGGUGUCAGUCCUUGAAGCAAGGUUUCAUCAAGUGGUAGCCUCACUAGCAGCAUCUUACUCAUUUGUUUAUAAUCUUCACAACAUUUC